rnacentral:rRNA from 1 species
ACAUAGCUCCAUCUCAUCCUGAAUGUAUGGGGUCUCAUCUGAUCUCCGAAGCUAAGCAGGAUCAGGCCUGGGUGGCCCAGUGGGUCAGGCUUUGGC